UACGGGGGGUGCAAGCGUUAAUCGGAAUUACUGGGCGUAAAGAGUUCGUAGGUGGUUUAGAAAGUCGGAUGUGAAAGCCCUGGGCUCAACCUAGGAAUGGCAUUCGAAACUUCUAGACUAGAGUAUGGUAGAGGGAAGUGGAAUUCCCGGUGUAGCAGUGAAAUGCGUAGAUAUCGGGAGGAACACCAGUGGCGAAGGCGGCUUCCUGGACUAAUACUGACACUGAGGAACGAAAGCGUGGGGAGCAAACAGG
rnacentral:rRNA from 1 species